UACGAAGGGGGCUAGCGUUGCUCGGAAUCACUGGGCGUAAAGCGCACGUAGGCGGCUUCCUAAGUCAGGGGUGAAAUCCUGGAGCUCAACUCCAGAACUGCCUUUGAUACUGGAGAGCUUGAGUCCGGAAGAGGUGAGUGGAACUCCGAGUGUAGAGGUGAAAUUCGUAGAUAUUCGGAAGAACACCAGUGGCGAAGGCGGCUCACUGGUCCGGUACUGACGCUGAUGUGCGAAAGCGUGGGGAGCAAACAGG
rnacentral:rRNA from 1 species